rnacentral:lncRNA from 1 species
AUGAUAUGCAUAAUAACCCAAGUUGAUUAUCACAUACAAGUAAUUACAAGUAAUGAAACCAAACUAUUGUAAAUUAUUACACAAAAUUAGGAAUCACAAUGCUAUGGAUUGGCUUUGGCUAAAACAAUUUCAACCUAAUUACCAAAUCUUGCUUCUUUAACCUUAGGAAUCACUCUUUCAAGCUUCUGAAUCUUGUUUUAAAGAUCAAAUUGUCCAUACAGCUAAGACCAUCCAACAAUAACAAAUAAGGUAAUUCCAAUGUCCAUCCCCAAUUGGAAAAGUUAGCACUGAGUACUGAACACAUUUACAGUUCCAUUCUCAUUCCUUUGAAAC